rnacentral:lncRNA from 1 species
AUGCCUGGAGCCAAGGGUGAAAUUGGAGUUAAGGGUGAGACAGGACCCAGAGGCUUGACGGGAAUGCAAGGUCUUCCAGGACCUCAAGGAGAGCCCGGUCCUCCAGGUGAAGCUGGCAUGGAGGGAGUCCCAGGACCAAAGGUCAUUGGCCAUCCUCAUUGACAAUCCUUUCAUUAACACUGAAGGAAAUUCUCUUUUCUUAAAUUUUCACUUCAUGUCCAAUAGGGGGAUAGGGGCGAAAGAGGACCAGUUGGGCCUCCUGGUAUUGUUGGCUCGCCUGUAAGUUUCUUUAUGAUUCUUUAUUUCAGACUUUUAUUUACAGAUAUUUAUUUUUCUGCUAUAAUCAGGUCAAAGAAACCCUUUUUCUUAGGAAAAUAU